GGGCGAUUGGCGGAACUGGUAGACGCGAUAGACUCAAAAUCUGUUGGUAGUAAUACCGUGUGGGUUCAAGUCCCACAUUGCCCACCA
rnacentral:tRNA from 1 species